rnacentral:rRNA from 1 species
CCUACGUUGCGCAGCAGUGGGGGAUAUUGGACCCUUGGGGAAACCCUGAUCCAGCGCCGCCUCGUGAGUGAAGAAGUAUUUCGGUAUGUAAAGCUCUGUCAGCAGGGAAGAAAGAAAUGACGGUACCUGACCAAGAAGCCCCGGCUAACUACGUGCCAGCAGCCUCGGUAAUACGUAGGGGGCAAGCGUUAUCCGGAAUUACUGGGUGUAAAGGGGGCGUAGACGGUGAUGCAAGUCUGGAGUGAAAGGCUGGGGCCCAACCCCCGGACUGCUCUGGAAACUGUGUAACUUGAGUGCAGGAGAGGUAAGCGGAAUUCCUAGUGUAGAGGUGAAAUGCGGAGAUAUUAGGAGGAACACCAGUGGCGAAGGCGGCUUACUGGACUGUAACUGACGUUGAGGCUCGAAAGCGUGGGGAGCAAACAGGAUUAGAUACCCCGGUAGUC